GAGUUUGAUCCUGGCUCAGGACGAACGCUGGCGGCGUGCUUAACACAUGCAAGUCGAACGGUAAGGCUCCAGCUUGCUGGGGUACACGAGUGGCGAACGGGUGAGUAACACGUGGGUGACCUGCCCUGCACUUCGGGGAUAAGCCUGGGAAACUGGGUCUAAUACCGGAUAGGACCGCACCGUGAGGGUGUGGCGGAAAGUUUUUU
rnacentral:rRNA from 1 species